GAGGCUGAGGCAGAAGAAUCACUUGAACCCGGGAGGCAGAGGUUGCAGUGAGCUGAGAUCAUGCCAUUGCACUCCAGUCUGGUCGACAGAGCAAGAUUCUAUCUCAAAAAAAAAAAAAAAAAGCUGCUGCAAAUGCUCAUUCCGUCACAACCAUGCUAGUGAAAAAAGAAAUAAUGGGUUAGAAGGUAAUUUUAGAGUAUAUCUCUUACUCUUUUGCCCUGUAAAAUUUUUGUAUUUAUUACUUGCCAUAUAGAAGCCUGUACUUCAACAAAAGAUGUCAUUAAUUUCAAGUAAAUAUGCUCCCACAUAUAUUCUCCCUAGAAAGGUACUGGUGUAUUUCCAGUCAAGUUGUAGCAUUUCUGGCCUUUUUUGUGCUGCUGUGUUUGUGUGAAAUAAGGCAGGAAGUAAAGUGGAGUCAACCAUGACAUUUCUUGUUUCUAAAGCCACAGCCUCUAAAAUUGAAUGUUAAGUCAACUAGAAAUAAUGACAAUAUUUAAGAAAUAAAAUUCUUUUUAUUUUUUAUAGUUUAUAAAAAAUUAUUUUUGAAUUAUAAGUUAAACAACUUGAACAUGCAGAUACCUAAAAGUGUCAUCUAGGUGAUAGUAUUAAUAUUUUAAUAGCUUAUAAUUGUGAGUCACAGUUGCCCCAUUGGGUUUACUGAAAAGCAGUUAUUUAUCUUAUAUGUGUGAAUGGAGAAUAGGCUUUUUAUAAUCCUAAGCAUACAGAUCUUUUAAGAUUAGCGCUAUAUUUAGAUCUGAAUAAAAUUGAUAGGCUUGUAAUAACAAAUUUUAAUACUUUUUUCUAAUAGAAGUGAAAAACAGAAGUCAUUUGUUAAAAUGAGUUUAAGAGAAACUUCACAUGUAUUUAUUAAAUAACACUUAAACCACAUGGUAAGUUACUAAUCAGUAAUUUCAAUCUAUUUUAUUUUAGUCACUGAAAAAGCAUAACAUUCUUUAAUUAUUCAAUCAGAAACAGUAUUCUUAUUAGUGUUUCUGAAAGCAACUGUAGACCACUCAGUGGAUGACAAGGUUCAUGCUGACAACAAAUUUUCUAUAUAAUAAUAGGCUCAUUUUAACUUUAAAUAUAAACACUCAUUAUUUCAAAAGUAAAAUUAAUGGUUCUUUUAAGUCAUAAGAGGAAUAAUGUUAUAAUUCACUUACUGAAGUGUUUGUCUCAGACUUUGUAAUGAAUACUUUAAACCAAAAAUUAAGUUCUACAUACUAUCUAUGGAUAAAAAGAAGUGGUUUGUAAAUUUAUCUUUAUUUUUACUAAAUUAAAAAAUUUAAAGCCAAAAUGUUAGGUCAGGAUUUAAAACAAGCAUUGGGUGACAGGGUGUUGGGCGUAAUGGUUAGAUUGAAACUCGGUGUCAGCUGGUUACUGAUUGCAUCCCCAACUUUAGGAUUUUGGUAAAAUUAAAGCAAUUAAUGCAAAUAAAGGUGCCCGAAGAGCACCCAGCAUAUAGCUCUCAUUUGUUGAUUCUGUUAGAUCAUGAUCAAUGUUAAGCCUAAAAACAAGGUGGCCACAUCAGUGGUUUGUAACCCAUGUUUAUUCUAAUCAGUCAAUCUGGGGCUAUAUAUAAUAGUAGUUGAAUGUUUAUAGUACUACCCUUGGAAAAUUCCCAUAUAUUCACACCCAGCAUGGAUAUAAAUACGGAAAGAUUUCCCAUUGAGUACUUCUCUUUAGCACUCCAGUAACACUAGACAAAUAAGCACCUAAAUGCCGAGUGUUUGUCAGUUUUAAAAUUAGAAAAGAAGGCAAGUUGUUUUCUUGUCUACCUGUUUAAUAAAUUUUUUAUUGCCAAGUACGUAUGUUCAUUUGAUUUAAUACGUUGAAAUGUAGUUUAAAAUAUAUAUUCAAAUAACUAACAAGUGAAGGAAUAAUUUAUUUAGAAACGUAGAAAUAAUGGUACUGUAAGCAGUUGCUUUAGAGUCUUUUAUAGUAUUGUAUUUUGAACAUUAAAAAUAAACAUUUUAUUUCUGAGUGUUGGGUUUAGACUAUUC
rnacentral:lncRNA from 1 species